CCAUGCUCGCUUAUUUGGCAAUAGUGGAAAAUGAGUCUAUUGGGAGAGAACGCUACAAUUUCAUGCAGGUUCUGCUACAGGAAAACGGGCAAGUUUUGGAAAUGUGAGAUCUGAAAGGCAUUCUAGAUGGGUCCCACACUUGCCGAAACAAAAAAUACGGGUGAAUUGAGGACAGCGAAUAACGGAACAAGCAGCACUAAGCCUUUGGUUAGCAAUGGCAAGCGCAAGCCGAUAAGAAGAAAUUCUCAAAUUUGCCCACAUUUCAUCAAAUCUUUCGACACGUGAGAUAUGGUUUUGUUUUUUAAUUUUGCUUGUAGUACAAGGGGGAAAUGAGACUGGAUGCGGUUAAUGAUGUUGACGAGGACGAGAUGCUGGAUGUUGACGUAGAUUGACUCUUGUUAGCUCAGAAAUAUAGAAUGCAUAGUCACCCUUGUUUUUUGCAGUGUGUAACAGCUUUAUUUUGAUAUGCUUUCAUGUUUCUAAUACCCGGUAACAAGUAAAGGUUAUGCACUUUAAGGCUUUGGCAGGGACUUCUGUAGCAAUAGAGUAUACGUGUGAUUA